rnacentral:rRNA from 1 species
CAUGCCUUACACAUGCAAGUCGAACGGCAGCACGGGAGCAAUCCUGGUGGCGAGUGGCGAACGGGUGAGUAAUGUAUCGGAACGUACCAUUCAGUGGGGGAUAACGUAGCGAAAGUUACGCUAAUACCGCAUAUUCUGUGCGCAGGAAAGCAGGGGAUCGCAAGACCUUGCGCUGAUUGAGCGGCCGAUAUCAGAUUAGCUAGUUGGUGAGGUAAAGGCUCACCAAGGCGACGAUCUGUAGCGGGUCUGAGAGGAUGAUCCGCCACACUGGAACUGAGACAGGGUCCAGACUCCUACGGGAGGCAGCAGUGGGGAAUUUUGGACAAUGGGGGCAACCCUGAUCCAGCCAUGCCGCGUGAGUGAAGAAGGCCUUCGGGUUGUAAAGCUCUUUCGGCCGGGAAGAAAUCGUAUGGGUUAAUACCCUGUGCGGAUGACGGUACCGGCAUAAGAAGCACCGGCUAACUACGUGCCAGCAGCCGCGGUAAUACGUAGGGUGCGAGCGUUAAUCGGAAUUACUGGGCGUAAAGCGUGCGCAGGCGGUUUUGUAAGACAGGCGUGAAAUCCCC